rnacentral:rRNA from 1 species
AGCGAACGCUGGCGGCACGCCUAACACAUGCAAGUCGAACGGAACCUUCGGUAUUAGUGGCUGACGGGUGUGUAACACGAGGGAACGUGCACAUCGGCUCGGAACAACUCAGGGAAACUUGAGCUCAUACCGGCAUUGCCCUUCGGGGGCCAGAUAUAUCGCCAUUGGAGCGGCCCGCGUCUGUUAAGCUCGUUGGUGAGGUAAAGGCUCACAAAGGCGACGAUCAGUAGCUGGUCUAAAAGGAUGGUCAGCCACAUUAGGACUGAGACCCGGCCCAAACUCCUACGAGAGGCAGCAGUGGGGAAUCUUGAGCAAUGGGCGAGAGCCUGACGCAGCCAGGCCGCGUGAAUGAUGAAGGUCUUAGGAAUGUAAAAUUCUUGCAACGGGGACGGUAAUGACGGUACCCGGAGAAGAAGCCCCGGCUAACUUCGUGCCAGCAGCCGCCGUAAUAC